rnacentral:rRNA from 1 species
UGAAACUUAACUGAUCUCUUCGGAGUGAAAUUAAGUGGAUUAGUGGCGGACGGGUGAGUAACGCGUGAGUAACCUGCCUUAGAGAUGGGGAUAGCCUCUGGAAACGGAGAAUAAUACCCAAUGAUACCAAGUUAUCGCAUGGUAGCCUGGCCAAAGAUUUAUCGCUCUAAGAUGGACUUGCGUCUGAUUAGCUAGUUGGUGAGAUAAUGGCUCACCAAGGCAACGAUCAGUAGCCGGCUUGAGAGAGUGUACGGCCACAUUGGGACUGAGACACGGCCCAGACUCCUACGGGAGGCAGCAGUGGGGAAUUUUGCACAAUGGGGGAAACCCUGAUGCAGCGACGCCGCGUGAUUUAGAAGGCCUUCGGGUUGUAAAAAUCUUUUGUAUAGGAAGAAAAUGACAGUACUAUACGAAUAAGGACCGGCUAAUUACGUGCCAGCAGCCGCGGUAAUACGUAAGGUCCGAGCGUUGUCCGGAAUCAUUGGGCGUAAAGGGUACGUAGGCGGGUAAGCAAGUUAGAAGUGAAAUCCUAUAGCUCAACUAUAGUAAGCUUUUAAAACUGCUCAUCUUGAGGUAUGGAAGGGAAAGUGGAAUUCCUAGUGUAGCGGUGAAAUGCGCAGAUAUUAGGAGGAAUACCGGUGGCGAAGGCGACUUUCUGGCCAUAACCUGACGCUGAGGUACGAAAGCGUGGGUAGCAAACAGGAUUAGAUACCCUGGUAGUCCACGCCGUAAACGAUGAGUGUUAGGUGUCUGGAGUAAAUCUGGGUGCCGCAGCUAACGCAUUAACACUCCGCCUGGGGAGUACGCA